CCCCGCACAAGCAGCGGAGCGUGUGGUUUAAUUCGAUGUUACACGAAGAACCUUACCAGGGUUUGACAUGCAAGUGGUAGGAAGCCGAAAGGUGACCGACCCUUCGGGGAGCUUGCACAGGUGCUGCAUGGCUGUCGUCAGCUCGUGUCGUGAGAUGUUCGGUUAAGUCCGCUAACGAGCGCAACCCUCGCUGUGUGUUAUAUGUGUCACACGGGACUGCCGGUCUUAAGCCGGAGGAAGGUGGGGAUGAUGUCAAGUCAGCAUGGCCUUUAUAUCCUGGGCUACACACACGCUACAAUGGCCAACACAAUAGGUUGCUAAGCCGCGAGGUGGCGCCAAUCCAUAAAGUUGGUCUCAGUUCAGAUUGUAGGCUGCAACCCGCCUGCAUGAAGAUGGAGUUGCUAGUAACCGCAGGUCAGCUAUACUGCGGUGAAUACGUUCCCGGGCCUU
rnacentral:rRNA from 1 species